UUCCAUCAUGAAGGCCUCCUGGUUAUUCCUCACCGGCGGCUCAUUCACCUAGAAGUUUCAACAUCAUUCGACGAAACAGAAUUCGAACAUGAAUCGAUCAGCACUUUCUCAAGAAACAAUUCUGAAGUGAAUAUGCCAUCCAAACACUGGAACAAAUAGCGACCCAAAGAAACAAUUGUGACGUGAAUUUUUCAUCCAAACACUAGAAAAUCCUAAUACGGGAAAAUUGUUUACCCUAGCAACGUUGACGAGGUGGGUCAAGUUAUCGACGAUGCUGGCGAUAUCUGUUUCCAGCC
rnacentral:lncRNA from 1 species